rnacentral:rRNA from 1 species
UAGCGACAGGCUUAACACAUGCAAGUCGAGGGGCAGCAUAAAAGUAGCAAUACUUGGUGGCGACCGGCGCACGGGUGAGUAACGCGUAUGCAACCUACCUAUCGAGAGGGGAAUAACCCGGCGAAAGUCGGACUAAUACCGCAUAAAACAGGGGCACCGCAUGGUGAUACUUGUUAAAGAAAUUCGCUGAUAGAUGGGCAUGCGUUCCAUUAGGUAGUUGGUGAGGUAACGGCUCACCAAGCCGACGAUGGAUAGGGGAACUGAGAGGUUGGUCCCCCACACUGGUACUGAGACACGGACCAGACUCCUACGGGAGGCAGCAGUGAGGAAUAUUGGUCAAUGGGCGGGAGCCUGAACCAGCCAAGUCGCGUGAAGGAAAGAAGGAUCUAUGGUUCGUAAACUUCUUUUGCAGGGGAAUAAAGUGCAGGACGUGUCCUGUUUUGUAUGUACCCUGAGAAUAAGGAUCGGCUAACUCCGUGCCAGCAGCUGC